GGUGAGAUGGCCGAGCGGUCUAAGGCGCCAGGUUCAGGUCCACCUGAAUUUCCAUACUGCACAGUAUUUCCUGGUCUCGAAAGGGGCGUGGGUUCGAAUCCCACUCUCAUCA